rnacentral:rRNA from 1 species
AACGAACGCUGGCGGCAUGCCUGACACAUGCAAGUCGAACGAGACCUUCGGGUCUAGUGGCGCAAGGGUGCGUAACGCGUGGGAACCUGCCCUUAGGUUCGGAAUAACUCCCCGAAAGGGGUGCUAAUACCGGAUAAUGUCUUCGGACCAAAGAUUUAUCGCCUUUGGAUGGGCCCGCGUUGGAUUAGCUAGUUGGUAAGGUAAAAGCCUACCAAGGCGACGAUCCAUAGCUGGUCUGAGAGGAUGAUCAGCCACACUGGGACUGAGACACGACCCAGACUCCUACGGGAGGCAGCAGUGGGGAAUAUUGGACAAUGGGCGAAAGCCUGAUCCAGCAAUGCCGCGUGAGUGAUGAAGGCCUUAGGGUUGUAAAGCUCUUUUACCCGGGAUGAUAAUGACAGUACCGGGAGAAUAAGCGCCGGCUAACUCCGUG